ACUAAAAUCAUUCACAUACACAAAAGUUUCCAUUGGUCUACUAGAAGAAAUCCCCACUGGUGCCAUUUUCUACCUUGUUGCCUAAUGAAAUAAGAAAAGUGUGGCUUUGAGAGAUGCCAGCUGAUGUGCCAUUCCUGCCAAGCGAGACAGAUAGAAGAUCUAGCUCUGCAGCGACCUUAACUCUGAGCUGUGGUUUCCCUGUCCAUAAGAGAAGAAAGUCGAACCAGUGCCAUGAUGUGAAAGAAGCCAAGCUAGUCUUCCUGGAGAAGAGAGAAUGCACAAAGAGAGAAACUCAGCUGAUGACCAGCACCAACUGCCUGGCAUGGGGUGAGGUCAUCUUGAACUUCAACCCAAUUAAGCCACAAAAUCACUGAAGACCCAUGAGCCACUCCACGCAAGACCAGCAGGAAAACCCAUUUCUGAGCCCAGCAUAUAAUGCUUACUCACAGGAUUAUGAGCAAACCAAAUUACAGUUACUUAAGCCACAAAGUUGUUGCACCAUUUUUUUAUGAAGCAAGAUACCUGAUAGAGACAUAAAUACCAGGAAGAGAAAAGUUGGGUAAUGUCUCAAUAUAUUAUUAUGGCACAGCUAUGCCUUAAAUUUUAUUUCCAGAGAUUUCAGCAUUUCCUAAUGUCAUGCUUCCAGACUAUGCAUUAGGAAAGUUUACAUUUAGAAUGGGGGUUUCCCCAAGGAUAGUGGGGGAAAAGGCAGAGGGUGAAAAUGGCAGGGAUGACAUAGAAGUAGCAAUAGUUUCUGAGAAGUGUUGGGAAUAAUGGUCAGUUCAUCAAGAGUAUAACUAAUAUGCCUAUUACAUGCCUAUAUCCAUGAUACUGGGAUACCAAAAUAAUCCCAAUCAUCAAGAAUUUAUUAUCUACUUGGUGGUAGGGUGACAAAUAUUAGAACCAGUUUUCCUUCAAAACCAGAGUUAUAUCUUCUCAACUAAUUGUGUAUGUAUGUUCCAUGUUGAGAACAUGUCCCUAGGGGUCUGUCUGACAGGGCACACACUGUCUCUUCUAUCACUUUUGGUAUAUUGCUGUAGCUCCCAGAGAAAGAGCUAUCAGCAGGAAGCAUUUAGAAUACGUUCAUUGAAAUAUACCCAAUAAUUUACUGUCUGUGUAACUUCUAUUGAUCAUGAAAACUCUGAUGUGAUCUGUUUGUUAGGUCUGGGCUUCCGUGGUGAUAUUGAUCAAGCCGAUUCCUUUGUGAAAAGCUACAUCGAUUAGUUUCCUGACAACCUGUUAAGGCCACUUGCAAAGCUGUCACUGGUGAUACUUGCAGUCAAAAGAGUGAAGCUCACCCAUAAUAGUCUUUCUGAAGGGAGAUUGAAUGGAAGAUAGAUGAAUGCAGACAACAUUCUCUGUUCUGGGUAACCA
rnacentral:lncRNA from 13 species